GGGUAAUGAGCUUCUUCUUCUUCUCUCUCAAGUGUCGGUAUGCAAACACACGUGGAAGCAAGGAGGGUUUAAGCUUUUACCAGGUUAUAAAAUUCUUUUUUAUUUGCGUAAUAUCAUCGAAUUUUUGAUAUUUUGUGUGAAGAGUUGUACAAAAGCCCUUAUUACUGCAACAAAAUAUAGGAAAAUUACUGUAUCAAAAUUGAACUCGGAAAUUAGAAUAUAUAGCCCAUGUCAAAACAAAUUUAUGCAUCCGCCCCUGCUUCCAUGUUCAACGUGGUUUUGCUUUUCGAAAAUCGUGGUAUGUAGGAAUUUGUGUUCACUUUAAUUGAGGGGACAUUUUGUUGGGGGUGUUUAGAAACAUAUAGAUUGAAAGUGGGGACUUAAUUGCAUAUAUUGAAAGUUUCAACCUAUUUGUAACUUAUGUAAUAGGUUGUGAUUUUAGGUGCAAUGGACUGAUUCAAUAUCAA